rnacentral:piRNA from 1 species
UGUGGGCAAAGUAAACUGAAAACCUUC